AUCCAGUUGACGAGUCCCAAAUAGGACGAAAUGCGCGUCAAACUGGAU
rfam:Schistosoma mansoni strain Puerto Rico chromosome 2, complete genome